rnacentral:lncRNA from 1 species
GCUCAGACAGCAGCCGUGAACUGAGAUCAAGAUUUACCAUCCUUUUCUUCCCACUAACAACAGCCUCCAUCUUUUUGACUAAUCUUUUGAACAAGAGAGAUGGUUAAAUCUCCCAAUAUAAAUAUCUAUCUAAAGUAAAGUUUUGGUGUAUGAAGAAGUAGUUAUUGAAGAAUCUCGUGAAACCCGUCACGUAUAGGGAUUUUCAAAGACAAAGGAAUAAACAGGUUUGAUGAGAAGAAGACUAUCGCAGUGACCAAUGAUGAAUGAUGAUGAUGUCCAGCUUCAUAUUCCAUACCAAUGGCUUCGUUUCUAGAGUUUUUAAGAUCUAAGAUUGUCGUUAAAUUAAUGUUGUUUCUUCUCAGACACAUCUCUGUAUCUAAAACCAAAACAAAGAUUAAAAGAUUUGUCAACAACAGGUUCCCAAAACAAAAGAGAGUUGCAAGAAAGAAGACAUACCAUUAAAGGGAAUGCUAGUGAAGGAGAUUUAGCCAACCGCAACAUCCAUCUCUUAGAAUUUGCGAAUGUUCUGCAAUUUUUUUUUAGAUAAGUCAAAUGUUGAACGAAGUCAAGAACCAAUAAGAUCGCAAUCAUGAGAAUCAAACAAAGAGAUAGGAUGUUCCACUGAAUAAAAAAAGAACACGCAGCAUCAUAUAACCACAAAAAAAAAUCAGGAAAAAGCAGUGGAUAUCAAUUAAUUUCCUGAAAAGAAAAAUGAAUAUAAUUUCUCUAGAGUUGGCUAAGAUCUCAAGAUCGGUGCUUCCAAGACCAUUAAAAAAAACUAACAAUGAAUCAAAAAUUGCAGAAAAUUUACUAUAAUGGUGGUGAGAGACCUGAAGCGGAUGAUUCAUUUCUAAAGAAGAAACUUAAAAUCCAAAUGGCUAAGACAUUUAUAGAAAAAAGAACGAAAAUGGCGGAAAGAAAUAAAAAGGAUAGAGAUGAAAGAAAGUACCGAGAGAAUAGGGAGGCCUUGUCUUUUUCUUUUGAGUCUUCUUUGUUCUUGCGUUGAACUUGGUUUGCAGAGAAGAAGAGAGAGAGAGAGAGAGAUGUAAUAAUAAUAAGGAUGGUGUAUUUAUAAAGGGGAGCGUGAGAUUCGAACAAUUAUUAUAUUUAUGAGCAAAAUCACAGGAGGAAGCAUCAUACGGUGGAUCGGCCGUAAGAUAAUCAUGUCUACUAGUCACCACGUCACUUUCACCCCAUCACCAUCUAUUUAUUAUUGUAUAUUUUCCAUUUACUUACCGGAGACAUGUUUUUUAUUCAGACCACGACGAAGACAUGUUUUAUUUUUAUAAAGUAAACUCUACUCCAUCAGACUAAUCUAUGUCCAUUAAGAUUUUUUUUUGGUUUGUUGGGCUCUUUUUGGUUGUUGGGGUCAGGGCCAACCUUGGAAAGGAGUCAUAUUUGAAUACAAGUCAUACAACAAUUUCUCAAUAAACUCCUAACCGUAACAUUAAAUUUGGUGUUGAAAUAGCAUUAAAAUAGAUGAUAACCCACACGCGCAAGGUGAAUUUUUAUAAUAAUAUUUGUUCAUUAAAUGGUUUUACUAUUUUGCAACACUACAACCUUUAGUGAUUGCAACAAUCACUCAAACCGCUCUAAACCUCAUAAAUUCAAAAACUGGUUCCAGCUAGCAUUUGCAGUUGCAGGAGGAUAAAUUGUUUUUUUAAAAUAAUAUAAAUACAAAAAUAAAAAUAUUCAAUAAAAAAUUUAAAUUGGAAUUAUAAAAAUACUAAAAUAUAUCUAUUAUAUUUUAAUUAAUAUUAUAAAAUUUUAAAAUAAAAAUAUUUUCUAUANNNNNNNNNNNNNNNNNNNNNNNNNNNNNNNNNNNNNNNNNNNNNNNNNNNNNNUAUAUAUAUAUAUAUAUAAUAUGAAUAUCUAUUAAUGUAUAUAAUAUGAAUAUCUAUUAAUGAGACUUCAUAUUCAUACGAUUUAUCAAGGCUGGACGUUUUAUCCGAUACCUGAACCCGUAUCUGAAUCCAAUCCAAAAAUUCGAACUGAAGUAGCAAAAUAUCCGAACGGUUAUUGGAUUCGGAAAGAUUGGAUAUCCGAACCUAAACGGGUAAUAUCCGAACCCGAACGGAUAUAUAUCCAACCAUAAAUAUACUUAACUUUAUAUUUCUAGUUUACUUUUCUCAUUUUAUUCAAAAUAUUUAUAUUAAUGAUGCACAUUGCUCAAAAUUAGAUAAUAUACCUAUAAUUAUGGACAAAAACAUUUUUUUCUCACUUAAAAUACAUAUCAAACUCUUGUUUCUUGCAUAAACAAAAGUUCAUCUAAAAUUUCAAAACAACAACUAAUUAGUGUUUCUAUUUUUAAAGUUUUAUCUCCAAACCUAUUAAUAGUGUAAUCUUUUAAAAAUUAGAAAACCAGUUAAGUUAAAAGUAUAUUUUCAAUUAAAAAAAACUUAAACAAUAAAUAAUUUAUUUAUUUUUUCUUCAAAGUUUAAAUAUCUGAACCCGAACAUAAAAUACCCGAACCCGAUCCGAAGUGUAGAAAUACUCAAACGGGUUCAAUGCCUUUAUACUGAAAUACCCGAAAAAUCCUAAAUACCUGAUACGAACCCGAACGGGUAUCUGAAUGCUCACCCACGCAGGAACCAGACAGUUUUAUCUCAGAUGUUUUCCACUGCCUGCCUGGUGCAGCUUCCGGGUCAUACAACAAAGUACUGUGACCAGUCUCUUCUUGAGAUGAAAAAAGCAGAAGCUUCCCACUCAGCUUACCAAACUGAAACCCGGCCCUCGAGCUUCCUGACAGCGGAAGAGCCACAACUUCCCAAGUAUCAUCUUCUGCAUUGAAGACAGACAUCUUCCUCUGGUUCUUCCACUCGAUACAGAAGAGCUUCUUUCCUACUUCAACAUGAGCUGUGACCAUCUGCAAUUGUAUCAAGAGCACCUAAAUAUUAGAGAUACUCUCUAUCAAUGUUCAAGAACUCAGCGGAUUAUUGGGAACUUAGGCGAGCCAAUGCAUUAAAAAAAUUAUUGAUUUAUUUUAUAUAUAUUUAACAUUUAUAUAAGAUGUUUAUUUCUUGACUUUAAUUGUAAUUUUUUUUUUAUGAAUUAUCAAAAUUAGAUAUUCAACGUAAGAAAUUAGACAAAAUUGUGAAUUCAUACUAAUUUAACAGAUUUAAACUAAUUUAGAUCGAAUUAAACCGAUUUAAAAUGAUAUAAAUCGAUGUAGAAUGAUUUAAAUCAUAUAUAUAUAUAUCAGAUUUCUUGAAAAUCGUUUCAGAUAGUACCGAUUUGCCCUAACCAUGGUAAUCCAUACUUUAAAACCAAGCUAAAGAAACAUACUAUCAUGUGUAUCAUCUGAGGAGAAACACUUACAGUUACACCGUUUUUGCUGCCACACCAGGAGCCACACUGAGGGUUGUACACAUCAACAAGUUUUGAGUUACCAAUGGUGAAGUUGGAUCUCCCACCCAUCACAUAGAGCUUCCCGUUGAAGCCGCUAGCGAAACAUCCCCAUCUCGGACGCCUCAGAGACUGUAUGAAAGUCCAAACCCCUGUCUCUGGAUCGUAAACCUCUGCACUAGAAAGACUCUCACCAUCUCCACCAUGACCUCCCACCACAUAAACAAGCCCAUUCACCUCGGCGCAAGCAAAGUCAUAGCGAGCCUCCUUCAGGUCAGCUAGUCUGCUCCAGCUGGAUUAAAAAGUAUUAAAUCAUUGGAUCAAAGUUAACAAAGUAUGCUGGAAUUAAUUAAGAAAAUAAAUAGCUGACGAACCUGUUGAGGCAAGUAUCAAACUGGUAAACAUCAGAAGAUGCAACAUGAGAGCCACUGAUCAUAGCACAACCAGCAAUAACAAGAAGUUUCCCAUCAACAACAACCACCUUAAACCCUGUCUUUACAGGACCAGGCAUUGGUGGAAGAGAUGAUAGCUUAUGUCCCAGACAGUCGAUCACCUCCCAGUGACUCUCUUUCCCGCCAGCAUCCAUGGUUAAGACAUAGAGCCACUCCUCAGGCAUACCAGCGAGUCUUCUCACAGUAAUAAACUCUUUGCUCUGAACAACAUACCUCCAUCUCUUACAGACACGUCCCAUGGAAGGUAAGCUAGCACGCGGCACCAGCGCCAGACACAGCUUGGCCACAUCAUCAGACAACCCCGGGAUCAAAGGCUCAGACAGCAGCCGUGAACUGAGAUCAAGAUUUACCAUCCUUUUCUUCCCACUAACAACAGCCUCCAUCUUUUUGACUAAUCUUUUGAACAAGAGAGAUGGUUAAAUCUCCCAAUAUAAAUAUCUAUCUAAAGUAAAGUUUUGGUGUAUGAAGAAGUAGUUAUUGAAGAAUCUCGUGAAACCCGUCACGUAUAGGGAUUUUCAAAGACAAAGGAAUAAACAGGUUUGAUGAGAAGAAGACUAUCGCAGUGACCAAUGAUGAAUGAUGAUGAUGUCCAGCUUCAUAUUCCAUACCAAUGGCUUCGUUUCUAGAGUUUUUAAGAUCUAAGAUUGUCGUUAAAUUAAUGUUGUUUCUUCUCAGACACAUCUCUG